GUGGGGGAGGGGAGGAAGUGGGAGGCGAACGUGAGACCGAGCCCUCAACCACGAAAUGGGAGGCCAAUGGAUUAGCCAAGGCAACAGAUUUGAAGGAGGAGGUGGAAUACAGAGCUUUGAUGAUGCCUUCUACAUUGACUGAUUCCUCCAGACAGACAUGUGGCAGUUAUGAUGGACAGGAACAUGUAAAUCUUCACUGAGUAUGAAUUAACAAUUAGAAAAUAAAGGAGUGAAACAAACAAGAGGAGAAGACAAAAAUGUAUUUCAUAUGAUGACACCAUGCAAUGAUCUGGUGGAACUGGGACAGCUGCUAAGAGAGGACUACAGUCCCCAGAGUGGUCUGGUCCUUCCCACAUGGUUUCUGGGAGGGAGAUACAAAGUGAUGUAGUGAUGUGGGGAUGCUCUUUUGCUCUGCACCACAGCCUGCAGCACACAGUUAGGAGACUCUCCCUUUCCCAUUUGUUUAUGACUUUUUAUUCCUUUUAUAUUGUAUUAUCUUCCAUGCCUUUACCAUUUUUAGUAAAAUAGUUUAUCUCAAUCGAGCAGCAACUCCUCCUUCUCACUUUUCUGACAGCUUCCUGUGAGGGGGAGGGGCUGGGGAAAUGGAGCUAGGCCCUGUCGCACGACAGGAAAAAAAAAAAAAAAGAAAAAAAUUCAUCCCACGACAAGCAUUUAAAAUAUUUUCUUCAAUAUUCUUGAUAUAAAUACAUUAUUUUCCUAUUGUUCAAAUUCCAUCUCUGACUGAGAAGACAGUAACCAUCUAGCUGAACAGGCAGGAAAUGUGCGCAUGCGUACUCAUGGGUACUCCAUAGAGGCAUUAAGACUCUCCAGCUUUAUCUCUUAGUCACAGACCAGUAUUUCUGCUGCUGCUAGUAAGCAAAACAACUUGUCACCAACAGCAGAUACUGCUCAGAAAUUACCACCUGAUCAUAAGGUUCCCCUUCUACUCAACAUGUCUGUAUAAAGUACGAGUGGAGAGGCAGCAGGAAGAACGCACAUCUUGAGCAUAAAGAUCUGAUGCUGAUAAGUCAAGAUUUGGAAGGACCUCCUUGAGUCACUGGAGGGCUGACUGUUGUGGGAGCAUCAAGAAAAGCUGAGCCAGCAAAAGUUUCAAGGUCCUGAAGAGUUUUGCACCUGGCCCACCACAUCAGUGCUGCACUUGUGCCUGAUCACCAGGGACAAUUGUGUUCCUGUUUCCAUUGUGCAGUCAUGCAGAAAACAUCUCUCAUCCGAGCUCGAAGCGGUGGCGUGAGUUACACAUUGGUGGUGUGAGUCACACAUUACAGGCUGGCGUCAGCCACUUCCAGGAAGGAGGGCAGACAUGGCAGCAGGACUGGUGGAAUGGGGUGGCGCCUCUCUCCAGAGUAAGGAAGCCCAAUCCCCAUCCCUUGGCAGUGAAACUGACCUAAAAGUCUGACACACAUUUUAUUGUCUUCAGCCAUAGUUUUGGAAGAAUGGGCUGCAAACAGAGGCAUUCCUGCAGAGCAGAGCAGUGAAGGCCUCCUGACACCUCUAGAGCCCAUGUGGUAAUUUGUGUGAGUUGCCAUGCUUGUGUAACAGGUUUGGCUGGUCCAGAUACAACCCCUCAGCAGCUGCCUGCAUUUCUGGCAGCAUUAGCCAUCACCUAGCAACCGUGAAUUGUCACUGUCUUCUGUUUUGUCACCUCCUAAAGAGAAAGGGGUGUUGGAAGGCUUCUCUGUAUCCUUUCCCAUACAAUCAUCUAGUAUAGGAUUGUCAUUCCCCUGUUGCUGGAGGGGUGUCUCUCCUUCUAACCUUUAAGAAAUUUGGCUAAAGGAAAUGAAAAACCCAUACAGUCAAGCCCAGACUCACCUCCUCUUUAAAACUGUUUUGAUCUGCUGAGGAUCAAAGGAAGGCUGCAUUGACACCCAAUAUUCUCCAGAAUGGACAAUGGAACUUUUGUGAUUCACGCUACACUUCUGUACCUGGGUCUCAUUCACAUGCACAAGCAGUGUUGCAGAUCUGUCUGACUGCUCCCAGAAAGAUCACUCCUCCCUGGUUAGCUGCACCUUCAGAUCCCUUUCAGCCACGGAACAGUCUGGCUUUAAACUGAGUCCAGAGGCGAGAGGGAAAAAAAAAAAGUGGUUUCCUGACUUCUUGUUCUCCUAAUGCUUUAGCCCAUUUUCCAUUCAGAAGCCUUCUUCAAAUACAGUUUUAUAGCAUCUAAAUAGAAUGUGAAAAAAAAAAUCAACUGUCAAAUUUUGUCACUUGGUCUCUAAGUAGAUGCUUUAUUAAGGCUUGUUUACACAUGAAGCUUUCCCUAAUUAAGUCCAUGUGUGGAUAGUUUUGUUCUGAAUAAGGAACAUUCAUGAGCAGAACAGUCACUGCGUUUUUAAAUUCAUUCCCUUUCUGCUUUAAAAAGAAAUAUAUUUUUGUGAGCUUUUCUAUCUGCCAGUGCAACAUAGAAAACUGAAGACAGUAUGAGUGCUCUUCAUGCAGUCACAUGGCUUAAGAGAGGGUGAGAAGAAUUGUGCUCUGAAGUUCACAAUCCAGCUUGUUUUGUAGUAUUUUAUUUAUACAGACAGUCCUUAACCUUUUUUUGUUUAUUCCUUUUCUUUCCCCCCCCACAUCAGCCUAAAAUGCAUUGUUUUGAUAGGGAGAACUUUCUCAAUUCUAGGAUAACGUGGCAUUAAGAAUGUUUAUUGGACAAAUAUUAGUACUUCGGGGUGGGUGGGGGGUGGAGGAGAAGAGGUACUUAAGUGGUUAUUUGAAUGAAAAGUCUUGUACAGAAGCUAAUUCCUUUAGGCUUAAUUAUUAUUUUUUUUGUUGUUAAUGAAUGUUUAAUGUUCAGUUCAUUACAUUGCCAUCAUCUCACUAUGUCCAGCCAUUCUUCUAUGCAAUUUCCAUUGCAUCACCACACCUAAUUCCAUGGAAAGUUCCUUUAAAGUCAAGCCCAUUUGAGAAUGAAAAUAUAUUCCAGCAUGCAUAUACUGGCACAGGUGCUAUAAUUAUGGCUAGUUACUGGUAGCGAGUGAAAUAUUUUUGCCCCCUCCCACAAAAAAAGAUGGGAGAGAAGAAAAGAAAUAUAGUCUUGGUUUUCAUAAAAGUUCGGUAAAAUUGGAACAUUUUAAAGGUUUUUUCAGUGUUCUUAAUUUCUUAAAGUUUGACUGAAAUACUAAAGAAAAUUCAGCCCUUCUAGUUUCAAUGACAAAUGGAGGUACAGAGUCAAAAGGUCUAAGCAUGAAUGCAGUUACUCAGCAAGGGGCACUACUGCCAAUUUAUCAGGGUUUGUUCAAAUGAGACCUAACUACUGCUGCAUGUCUACCUGCAAAGUUUGCUGGUGUAAAUGUACUAUCUUAAUAAACACUUCUUAGUAGACAUAAAGCCUUCUGUUAAAUGUCCCAUGCCCAAGGGCAAUCACAUCACCUUGAUGCCUUUUUAUAAACUCUGCUUUUGUUGAUCUAAAUCUUGUUUCUCUACCAGAUGUUAGCAUGUUGCUGAAAUCACAUGAGAACAACAAUCUGGAAUUGGCUCUAGGAUUUGAUCACACGAGAACACAGUGAUAGGUCAGCUGUCAUGACCUACUUAGCUUUCUGGAAGGAGUGCUGCAGUCUCCUGAUGAUGGUAAAGCCCUUGUACAGGUGGGCACAUUCUGCUGUUGUUGUUUUUUAUAUGAUAUUUGCUGUACUCAUGGGCAAGUUCAAUUCUUAUGUAGAAACAGGUAGGGUAUGAAGCCCAGGUAGCAGUUAAUAGUUAUGCCUGUGCUUUUCUUUUCAGCAAGUAAUGAGUUCCUCCUAACACCAUGCAGUCUGUUGGCCACCAGCUCAGCUCAGCAAUAUGAGCUAUGGUAGAAAGGGGAGGGAAGGUCAACACAAGAAUGGUGUAGGAGAGGGUUUCCAUUCCAGGCAUAGGGUUUUGGUAAGGGCAGCAGUGUUCAGAUAAGAAGUAUUCAAAUGAUCUAAAGAAAAAAUUCUCUCUCCCCUGCCUCCUCUUUUUUUUUUUUUUUUUUU